rnacentral:rRNA from 1 species
ACGGUAAAACGAGGGCUUAGCUGUCUCCUUUUUCAGGUCAAUGAAAUUGAUCUUCCCGUGCAAAAGCGGGAAUUAUAACAUAAGACGAGAAGACCCUGUGAAGCUUUAGACACCAAGACAGCCCCCGUCAAACCCUCCUAACAAAGAACUAAACAUCAAACCCUGUCUCAACGUCUUCGGUUGGGGUGACCGCGGAGAACCACUAAACCCCCGCAUGGAAUGGGGACACAACAUAUAAUUAUAUCCCCAAAGCCAAGAGCCUCCGCUCUAAUACACAGAAUUUCUGACCUUACAUGAUCCGGCAACGCCGAUCAAUGAACCAAGUUACUCCAGGGAUAACAGCGCCAUCCUCUUCCAGAGCCCCCAUCGACAAGAGGGUUUACGACCUCGAUGUUGGAUCAGGACAUCCUAAUGGUGCAGCCGCUAUUAAGGGUUCGUUUGUUCAACGAUUAACAGUCCUACGUGAUCU